rnacentral:misc_RNA from 1 species
AAGUCGUAACAAGGUCUCCGUAGGUGAACCUGCGGAGGGAUCAUUAAUGGGUCAACUCGCCCACGGGGCUCGCACCCGUGCGGCCGAUACCUAUCACCCUCUGUGUCCCGAUUGUUGUGCCUCGGGGGCGCGCUUCGCCGCGCAUGCCCCCGGCGGCCCCUCCAAAACCCGCCGUAAACCGUCUGUCUGAGUCUAAAAGCAAAUGAAAUAAAA